rfam:Gorilla gorilla gorilla genomic chromosome, chr7, whole genome shotgun sequence
GCCGGGUGUGGUGGUGUGUGCCUGUAGUCCCAGCUGCUGGGGAGGCUGAGACAGGAGAAUUGCUUGAACCUGGGAGGCAGGGGUUGCAGUGAGCCAAGAUCUUGCCACUGUACUCCAGCCUGGGUGACAGAGUAAGACUCUGUCUCAA